UCGUUCUCGAGGCGGAACAGAAAUGAUUGAAUUUUAUCGUCUGAUAAAUCUGCCAGUCCAAAAUUUUUAAUAAAUUUUAAGAUCAUAACUUCACUGUCUGUACUGUUUAUUUAAGGGCGUAUGUCAACAACACGAUACAAAAAAAAUUCUCCUCCGGCGUUACGAUAAACUGUGAAUUUUUUCGAUUGUGAAUAAAAAUAUGUACAGGAAGAACUUUUGAAUGGAUAUUUAAAAACGACGAUUGAAAAAUAAUAGAACAAUAGUAAGCUCAAACAUAACCUUUAUGAGAAACAAUUGAAUCGAAUAAUAACAUUCAAGUGUCUGCCUUUCUACAAAUUUUGAUUCGUGUUCCAACCUAAAUAUCAGAUUAGUCGAGCAACGAGGCAAUCAAGUUCAUUAAUAGCUGUUGAAUACUAAGUCGCUGUAAUCGGACCCUGCUUUAACGUUGAUAUUAAUUAUGGCCUGGAUAGGUACAGCAAUAUCAGCCGUGAAUGCGGUCGCCGGAUUACUUGAUCCUGUAGCAGCUAUCGCAGGGCUCUUUACUGGGACCAGUGGAGCAAAAGAGGUGAUAAAAGAAACGCUCGAAUGUGUACAGCAAAAUGUGACAACAGCCGUGAUUGGAUGUGUAUGUGAGUGUGUUACAGGAAUUGCCUUCGUUGGCAGCAACUUCGCAGACAAAGUGAAUGUAAUGAAUGGGACGAACGUUAUGCAAAACUUUAUUUUCAGUUAAUAAUUGUUCAAUGCCUUGAAGUUAUUGCCGUUACCCCGAAAAAAUGCUUUGCUCCGCGUACCUCUACAUUCCUACUGCUUAUAUUAACCAUGUUUUCAAAAUUCUAAUUAAUUCAAAACUUUGCUAACAAUGUUAUUGCAAUUCCAAAGACAAAACGACCUAUCCGCAUUAAUUUUAUGAUUAGUAUGAUUGUUCUACUUUUCCCUACGCUCGUUCAAGUUACUCAAUGUA